UUAAAUUGAAGAGUUUGAUCAUGGCUCAGAUUGAACGCUGGCGGCAGGCCUAACACAUGCAAGUCGAACGGUAACAGGAAGCAGCUUGCUGCUUCGCUGACGAGUGGCGGACGGGUGAGUAAUGUCUGGGAAACUGCCUGAUGGAGGGGGAUAACUACUGGAAACGGUAGCUAAUACCGCAUAACGUCGCAAGACCAAAGAGGGGGACCUUCGGGCCUCUUACCAUCGGAUGUGCCCAGAUGGGAUUAGCUAGUAGGUGGGGUAACGGCUCACCUAGGCGACGAUCCCUAGCUGGUCUGAGAGGAUGACCAGCCACACUGGAACUGAGACACGGUCCAGACUCCUACGGGAGGCAGCAGUGGGGAAUAUUGCACAAUGGGCGCAAGCCUGAUGCAGCCAUGCCGCGUGUAUGAAGAAGGCCUUCGGGUUGUAAAGUACUUUCAGCGGGGAGGAAGGCGAUAAGGUUAAUAACCUUGUCGAUUGACGUUACCCGCAGAAGAAGCACCGGCUAACUCCGUGCCAGCAGCCGCGGUAAUACGGAGGGUGCAAGCGUUAAUCGGAAUUACUGGGCGUAAAGCGCACGCAGGCG
rnacentral:rRNA from 1 species